AUUGAACGCUGGCGGCAGGCCUAACACAUGCAAGUCGAACGAGUGGCGGACGGGUGAGUAAUGUCUGGGAAACUGCCCGAUGGAGGGGGAUAACUACUGGAAACGGUAGCUAAUACCGCAUACUAUCGGAUGAACCCAUAUGGGAUUAGCUAGUAGGUGGGGUAAAGGCUCACCUAGGCGACGAUCUCUAGCUGGUCUGAGAGGAUGAUCAGCCACACUGGGAAUGAGACACGGCCCGGACUCCUACGGGAGGCAGCAGGGGGGAAUAUUGCACAAUGGGGGAAACCCUGAUGCAGCAACGCCGCGUGCGGGAUGACGGCCUUCGGGUUGUAAACCGCUUUCAGCCAUGACGCGGUAGUGGCAGAAGAAGCACCGGCUAACUACGUGCCAGCAGCCGCGGUAAUAC
rnacentral:rRNA from 1 species